UUUAUGGAGAGUUUGAUCCUGGCUCAGGAUGAACGCUGGCGGCGUGCCUAAUACAUGCAAGUCGAGCGAACGGACGAGAAGCUUGCUUCUCUGAUGUUAGCGGCGGACGGGUGAGUAACACGUGGAUAACCUACCUAUAAGACUGGGAUAACUUCGGGAAAC
rnacentral:rRNA from 1 species